GAGAGAACUGAGCUGGAGAAAGAGGGGAAACCCGCAAGAAUUCGAGAAAGUACCUAACCAGGGAGUGACGUCCCGCUAGACUCCGGUGGUGUACUCCGCCUGAUCCAACGAACAGAAACUGAUCCUGACCUCGAUGCCGCCCCGCCGAGAGCCCCCAGCUGAUUCAACAACCACAAGCAUCAGGAAACCCACCUCCUUAUCCCGAACCAGGGACUUCAUCGCUAACAUCAAAGCCGUCUCCAUAUGACGAACCAAGACGGCAACUGGAGGCAAUAACCUCACCAGUGGCUCAUCACACUCGAAGUCACGCCACUAUAAAGCCAUCCGCAGGGCCUGACAGAGGCUAUGCCCCGCAGUUCCCGAUGGUGGAGGUAUCUGGACCUGAGGGAGCGAUUAUGGUCCACCGUCACUGGACUGCAGACGACAUCAUGAAAGCGGCCGACGGACUGAGCAAGCCAGGUGAUAUCGGCGGACGACGCUUCGGACAAGAACUGAUGGCAUUCGUGCAGUCCUGCAGACCAACACAGGCUGAACUGAGACGGUUGUUGAUGAUGCGGAAGAGGAAAAGGAGGGAAAAUUGAUUGGAUGAAAGAACAGGAAUGCUACAACUGUGGAAAGCUUAGACAUUUUGCCAGAAACUGUCCGGAGGAGGAUAACUCAUAUGACGGGGGCUCAGAUCAGAAUCCCACAAUCCACGAGUGACGGGCGGUGGAGAGGCAGGACAGCAGCGGACCACUGAGUGAAGACGGCAAAAGGGAAGUGACGAAUUUAAAUUACCAACUAUUGCAGCAGAUUAGUAAAGGGUCAAGAGGCCUUCCUGAGCAGGUGAAGGCAGUCCUUCCUGAGGUGACGGAUAAUCCCCUCCAUACACAUCAGCCAGGCGAUUGGAUGCUGAUUAAGGACUUCAGGAGGAAGCGGUGCAGCCAACCCAGGUGGAGAGGACCAUUCCAAGUACUACUGACGACACAAAACCGCAUAGCCUUGGACAUGCUCCUUGCUAAGGAAGGGGGAGUGUGCUCGAUGAUAGGCGACCAUUGUUGCACGUACAUACCGCCCAGUGAUGCACCUGGAGGUAAUAUCUCCAUGGCCUUGGACCACAUGAGUAAGAUUGCUGACCAACUUCGUGCUGAAGAAGCCGGAGUGAGACCUUGGGACUGGAAACGGGGAUCUCUAUUCUCAAUGUGGAAAAGUAUUGUAAUUAUGAUUUUCCAUCCAUUUUACUACUUGCCUUGAUUAUAUGUUGUGGACCCUUGUUAUGUCAAUGUAUGCUUAGUACUAUUCGCAUGAAUAUGGAUACCAACUUAUUCAGGUCACUAAAGAGGACCUGGAUGAGGAUAACACCCUGUACCUGCACACCGUAUUCUCUGAUAAUUAACAAAUGAUUGUAUAAGAAUCAAAGGGGGGAAAUGUGAUGGAAAAUGAUACGAAACUAUGCAUUAUGUGAUUCAUAUAAAAUCACACUGAU